GUCUACAGCCAUACCACCCUGAACCCGCCCGAUCUUGUCUGAUCUCGGAAGCUAAGGAGGGUUGGACCUGGUUAGUACUUGGAUGGGAGAAAUACAGAAACAACAAAUGAGACU
ensembl:rRNA 5S_rRNA 5S ribosomal RNA